rnacentral:rRNA from 1 species
UACGUAGGGCGCUAGCGUUGUCCGGAUUUAUUGGGCGUAAAGAGCGUGUAGGCGGCUCGGUAGGUCUGGUGUGAAAACUCGAGGCUUAACCUCGAGAUGUCAUCGGAAACCAUCUGGCUAGAGUCCGGAAGAGGAGAGUGGAAUUCCUGGUGUAGCGGUGAAAUGCGCAGAUAUCAGGAAGAACACCAAUGGCGAAAGCAGCUCUCUGGGACGGUACUGACGCUGAGACGCGAAAGCGUGGGGAGCGAACAGG